rnacentral:rRNA from 1 species
UACGAAGGGUGCAAGCGUUAAUCGGAAUUACUGGGCGUAAAGCGUGCGCAGGCGGUUGUGUAAGUCAGAUGUGAAAUCCCCGGGCUCAACCUGGGAAUUGCAUUUGAGACUGCACGGCUAGAGUGUGUCAGAGGGGGGUAGAAUUCCACGUGUAGCAGUGAAAUGCGUAGAGAUGUGGAGGAGUACCGAUGGCGAAGGCAGCCCCCUGGGAUAACACUGACGCUCAUGCACGAAAGCGUGGGGAGCAAACAGG